rnacentral:lncRNA from 1 species
AGGGUUUUUGGAGGCUGUUUCUCCCGGCUUGGGUGUUGUAUCAUUCAUCACAGAAUUCAAAGCCAGGGGCAACAGACUGCUGUGUGAUAGCCCAUGAGUGUUUCUGCUGCAUCACGGAAGGAGAUACAGACAUGAUUUCCUAGGGUACAGGCAAAGGCUCAAGGCUAGCUGUGACGCCAAUGAGUUUGGUAUACAAAAAAAGAUCUUAAAAUAAAGAACUGAAUAUCAGGACCUUGCUAAGAGGACAGUGAACAUCAGAAAAAAGUGACCUAAAUGGAAAGAGCAUCUUCAAAUGACAGAACAGCUUAGAAUGAGAAGAAUGAUUGGAAGAACCAAAGAGAACGGGUCAUAGAGACAGGUAGUACUUGGGUAGGAUUGUGCGAAAGCAAAGAUCUCCCUACUUCCCAUCCAUAGUCUGCCAGGAAAAACAACUCAAAGAAUGGGAAAUGUUUGGAAUUUUUUUCCAUCCAGGCAACUAAGACUCCUCCUGAACUGAUUUGCAGUACUGUUGUGUAUGGAAUGUUACAGAACACUCAAAGAAGUCAAUUUAAACGAUUGCUAGAUCAUCACUUGAUUCUGAGGAAUCACCACUGAGCUGAGAUUUUAGCAUCAGAGAGAACUCUGAGACUCACAGACUGAACUUGGAGCUGCAGGUCAUUUUUCUCUUGCAUCAGAGCUACCAUCUUUUCUUCCAGCUCUUUUCUUUUGGCCUCCGCCUUUGCAAGGUUUUCUUUAGCUUUUUCAAAUUCUUCCUUCAUGUUGGCCAUCUCCUUCUCGGUCUCUGCACUCUUCAAGAGAGGUUUGAUCUUGAAAUACAGCUUCAUCCAGGGCCAGUGUUUCACAUUCAUGAAGGCGCGGACGUUGUACUGGAUGCAGAAGAUGGACUCUCUGUGAUAAGAACAGAAAUGUUCAAAGUUGGGUUCUAACAGGAAUCAGGAAUAAAGGGACUAGAACAAAAAAU